CCUACGGGUGGCAGCAGUGGGGAAUAUUGCACAAUGGGGGAAACCCUGAUGCAGCGACGCCGCGUGAGUGAAGAAGUAUUUCGGUACGUAAAGCUCUAUCAGCAGGGAAGAAAAAAAGUCCUUUGGACUUUGGACGGUACCUGACUAAGAAGCCCCGGCUAACUACGUGACAGAAGCCGCGGUAAUACGUAGGGGUCAAGCGUUAUCCGGAUUUACUGGGGGGAAAGGGAGCGUAGACGGCAGCGCAAGUCUGGAGUGAAAUGCCGGGGCCCAACCCCGGCACUGCUUUUGAAACUGGGCAGCUAGAGUGCAGGAGAGGCAGGCGGAAUUCCUGGGGUAGCGGUGAAAGGCGUAGAUAUUAGGAGGAACACCAGUGGCGAAGGCGGCUUACUGGACUGUAACUGACGUUGAGGCUCGAAAGCGUGGGGAGCAAACAGGAUUAGAUACCCUUGUAGUC
rnacentral:rRNA from 1 species